rnacentral:rRNA from 1 species
UACGAAGGGGGCUAGCGUUGCUCGGAAUCACUGGGCGUAAAGGGUGCGUAGGCGGGUCUUUAAGUCAGGGGGGAAAUCCUGGAGCUCAACUCCAGAACUGCCUUUGAUACUGAAGAUCUUGAGUUCGGGUGAGGUGAGUGGAACUGCGAGUGUAGAGGUGAAAUUCGUAGAUAUUCGCAAGAACACCAGUGGCGAAGGCGGCUCUCUGGACCGAGACUGACGCUGAGGCGCGAAAGCGUGGGGAGCAAACAGG